rnacentral:tRNA from 1 species
GUAGCUCAGCUGGAUAGAGUAACUGGCUUCGAACCAGUUGGUCGGGAGUUCGAAUCUCUCC